AAAAAAUAGAAGCGGAAACCAAACAGACCCUUAUAUUUAGAUCUGACUUUUCAAUUACAAUGCCCAACUACCUUUCCUCAUUCUUCUGGUGGCGUUAUUGUUGAUGUUAUCUGUUGUAUUUUCCUUUUUAGAUAUUGGUCUGAUAUUAAUUAAUUAAUAAAUAUUCAGCAGAAGCGACCCAAGCCUUCAAAGAAGCCUAUUUUAUUGUCAAAAUAUCCAGAAACAACAGAUUUGAAGGGUCUUAAAGGCAUUGCGGAAACCUACAUUCAAGAAAAAAGCACGGGCUUUAGACAGUUAGUAGAGCAACGACAGGAAGGCACAUCAGGAGUUGUUGUUCGAAGCAGUAGAUCUAAUGUUGAUGAUCCCAAGAGUCUGUCAUGAUGAGUUGGAGUCUUUCUCCUUGAUGACAAAUAGUCCAUGUAAGUUAUGUCUACAACUUCCUCAUUAACAAGCUAGUGUUGC